CUGGGAUGUCUGGUGUUUAACAACCGGCUCUCAAGAAAGAAAAGAUUCCUGAUGUGUAGUGUUUGCUAAUUUCCGUGAUGUAAGUUUUCCUGCCGUGGCCACUUUCAAGCUACCAACAGGACGUCACGGGGCUUGGAACUGGAAGGAAAUGUGCACCAUCAGCUGCACAGGAGUGACAAAUCCCAUUACUGAGCACCUGCUGGGGACCCGGGCCUGAAACCUGUGUUUUCCAUGCCUGAUCUCACCUCCUCUCACUUACCUGGAAGGUUAUCAUCUCCAUUUUGCAGCUGCAUCAGUCCAGUCUCUGCCUUUGUCAUCAUGUGGAAAGACACCAGCCGGUUGGAUUAGAACCCACCCUAAUGACUUCAUCCACCCUUAAUCAGCUGCAAAGAUCCUAUUUCCGAGUAAGGUCACGUUCACAGGUACGAGGGGUUAGGACUGCAACAUGUCCUUUUGGGGGACACAAUUUAACCCAUAAUAGCAUCCAAAUGUAAAAUGAGCCUCCCUUUGACUCGGUCACCCCAUGUUUAGAAAUUUACCCUAAAGAGAUGCCUAGACAGAUAGCAAAGAGGCUCGGGGUAGUAUUGUUCAUAUUAGUGAAAAACUAGAAGCACCUUAGCAGUCAAUUGCAUACUAGUUAAAUAUAUUAUCCCGUACAACACCAUAAAAGCAACAGAGAUGGAGAUGUAAUUCUAUAUUUUUUUGCCGUAGAAAAGCGAUCACAACCUAUCAUUGAGUGAAUGAAGCCGAUUACAAAGCGGCGUGUAUAACGAUUUUGUAAACACGUUGACUUAAAUCUGUGUCAAGAAAGAUGAACUUCAGUGUGUUAACAGCGGUUACCUCUGAGUUGGUGGGAUUUUUAGGGAUUUAAAUUGUCUUCUUUCUAUUGUCUGACGAUGUUUGGGUACAUUUGUAAAUCAAAAACGAGAACUCAUCUUUAAAGAGCUCUGAGGGCUAUGGGCGGCCAAAGCAGCCGGUGGAACUGGGAGUCGUCACCAAGCCCACGUGGAUGCUCUUUGCAGCCCCAACAACCACCAAACACGUGUUGCAACUCCUCUCUCCCGUCCCUGCCCUGAGGUCACUGCGGUGAGAUCUUGCUGGCCCAGAGGUAAGAAAGGCCCUGCAUCCCCAGAACCCAUGAACGUGUUACCUUACAUGGACGAAGGGACCUUGCAGAUGUGGUUAAGAUAAGGACUCUGAGAUGGGAGAUUAUCCUGGAUGAUCCAGAGGGGCCCAGAUUAGCCCUGAGCUAACACCUGCUGCCAAUCCUCCUCUUUUUGCUGAGGAAGCCUGGCCCUGAGCUCACAUCCGUGCCCAUCUUCCUCCACGUUAUAUGUGGGACGCCUAUCACAGCAUGGCUUGUCAAGCUGUGCCAUGUCCACACCCGGGAUCCGAACCGGUGAACCUCGGGCCACCAAAGUGGAAUGUGUGAACUUAACCGCUGCACCACGGGCCGGCCCCUUAACCAUUUUUUAAGUGCACAGUUUGGUGGCAUUGAGUAUAUUUACUCUGUUGCGUGACCAUCGCCACCAUUCAUCUCCAGAACUUUUUCGUCUUCCCAAACAGAGACUCUGUCCCCAUUAAACACGAACUCCCCAGCCUCCCUUCCCCCAGCCCCUGGUAGCAACUUUUUCUUGAAAAACGCUAAAGCAUUUUCAAAAGCCAGCCAUUUGACCUCCUGGCAGGUGCAAGAAUGGCCAGGCUCCUGAGCUAUGUUUGAACUGUUUCUGGGCAAAACAACACAGAAAACUUCAAAGCAAGCCUCCUGCCACCCAUCCAGAAAAAUCUCAACUUUGCCUUCGUGACAUGUUCUCCAACAACCUGUGCUGCAACCUGUGGGGACCAGGACACCGAGAGAAGUGGGAUCAGAAAACCCAGAGGGAUGUCCCCUAGAGUUUAGACAAUGCAUGGUUUUCCACUGAAACACAGAUUUCUCACAUGAAAGAUGGCAGGGUUGAAGCUAAGGGAUUAGAAGGAGCAAAUCCUUGGAGCUUCUGAGAAAGGGAGGCAUCAGGAGCAGUUUGCAGACCGAGAACAAGGGCCCUCACAUUUCUAGAGGAUAGCAGAGCUUCCCUUGUUAAAUUGUGAUCCAUUGUCUGGAUCCCUGCUGAAUUUUGUGGUUAAAAUUCUGAUGUGAAAGACCGGAGGGCUUGCUUCAGGGACAGCCAGGAAGGUGAAGCCACCCAGCAAGGCCGGACCCCAGAGCCUUCGUGGGCAGGAGGCCCACAAGUGUUGGCGAGGGAGGUAGAGCUGCAGGGGAGCGGCAUGUGGCGCCACUCAGGCGGCCUGACCAAGGCUGGACCGCUCAGAUCAGGUGCUGCCUUGAAUGUUCUGCACACCAGGCAGGCCCUGAGGGCCGGGCCUGAAUGGAGGGAUGUGCAUUCCAGAACUGCAGCCAGAAAGGACAAGGUUACCCCAAAAGAGCCCCAGGGAUUCCCUGAAGGAGGAAUUUGGGGGCUCUGUGAGGGAAUUCCUGCUUAUGGGAGCAAGACACGCUGGAGCCCCUGUGAACACAGCAUGCGGAGCUCUGCCGGUGAUCUCCACCCUGUCACCUCCAAAGCUGAGUGGAGGGAGGAAGCACUUCAGUACCCGCUGAACUGAAGAGAUUCUCCAAAAAAGUUAUAGCGUGACUGGAGGCGCAAAACCCUGCCUCUACCUCCAUCCAGCCUCCUGAUAAAUUGCGGAAAGUCUGGAAACAUUCUCACUUCUACCACCAGAUGGCGCCAUCGACACAUUCCCUCCGCCCCCACAACCGCCGCAUGCCCCCGGCUAAUUGUUAAACCAGACAAGAAGCCCUCACAUCUAUAAAGGAGCCUGGUAGAUCCCAAACGACCCUCUGGCUCAGGGCAUGCACAGAAACCAUGGGAAUUCCAAGUGUGUGAGGGGAGGAGCAGAGGAAAGCAGAUACUGCCUGGAGAGCUGAGAACCCAGACAGUGAAAGGCCAUCCAGAUCAGAAAUCUCUAUUUCUCCAACCCUCUUCACUACACACUGCUCUUGUUCUUUUUAUUGUCUCACUUCCCUUUGUACAAAGAUUGAAGUUCCAACUAUUGAAAAUUCAGUGGUUGGGGCUGGCCCUGUGGGGCAGCUUAGUGGUUAAGUUCAUAUGCUCAGCUUCCACCACCCAGGGUUCAUGGGUUCUGAUCCUGGUCUGGACUUAUGAGCCACUCAUCAAGCCAUGCUGUGGCAGGCGUCCCACAUAUGAAACAGAGGAAGAUGGGCACAGAUCGUAGCUCAGGGCCAGUCUUCCUCAGCAAAAAGAGGAGAAUUGGUGACAGAUGUUAGCUCAGGGCUAGUCUUCCUCAAAAAAAAAAAAAAAAAAAGAGCCAGACAACCUGAUUGAAAAAUGGAGAAAGGAAUUGAACAGACAUUUCUCCAAAGAAGAUAUACAAAUGGCCAAGAAGCACAUGAAAACAUGCUCAACAUCAUUAAUCAUUCAGGGAAAUGCAAAUCAAAACCAUGAGAUACUACCUUACACCCAUUAGGAUGGCUAUUCUUUUUUUUUUUUUUUUUUGAGGAAGAUUAGCCCUGAGCUAGCAUCUGCUGCCAAUCCUCCUCUUUUUGUUGAGGAAGACUGGCCCUGAGCUAACAUCUGUGCCCUACUUUAUAUGUGGGACGCCUACCACAGCAUGGCUUGCCAAGCAGUGCCAUGUCCACACCCGGGAUCUGAACCAGCUAACCCUGGGCCUCUAAACAGGAACGUGUGAACUUAACCCCUGUGCCACUGGGCCAGCUCCAGGAUAGCUAUUCUUUAAAAAAAAAAAAGGGGUCAGAAAAUAACAAGUGUUGGCAGGGAUUUGGAGAAAUUGUAAUCCUUGUGUACUGAUGGUGGAUAUGUAUAAUGGUGCAGCUGGUAUGAAAAACAGGUGGCGCCUCAAAAUAUUGAAAAUAAAAUUACCAUAUGAUCUAGCAAUUACACUUCUGAGUAUAUACUCCAAAGAAUUAAAAGCAAGAUCUCAAAGAGAUUUUUAUACACUCAUGUUCAUAGCAGCAUAUUCACAAUAGCCAAAAAGUGGAAACAACCCAAAAGUCUUAUCGGUGGAUGAGUAGAUAAAUGUGGUAUUUACAUACAAUGGAAUAUUAUUCAGCCUUAAAAAGAAAGGAAACUCUGACACGUGCUACAGCACGAAUGAACCUUGAGGACAUUCUGCUAAGUGAAAUAACCCAGUCAGAAAAGGACAGAUAUUUUAUGAUUCCACUUAUAUGAUGAACCUGGAGCAGUUA
rnacentral:lncRNA from 1 species